rnacentral:misc_RNA from 1 species
GUGCUCUUAAAUCACAGUCUUUUCCUAUUCACUUUACGUGCAAACUGGGAAGUAGACUCACCUUCCUUAUAUUAUCUUCUACUACUUGCCCUUCUCUUACACACCUUUUAUGAUCAUGAGACUUAAUCCCUUCAUCCAGAGACUUAAAUAAUUCCCUUUUUAUUCAUCACUUGAAUCAUGCAGAGGAGCCCAUUAGGAUUGCCCACUUUUUCUCCCUUGCCCCUCCCGAAUUCAUCCCAUUAGGUUUACUUGUACGCAACACUACCUCUCUGUCCUCCUUGACAUUAAAAU